rnacentral:rRNA from 1 species
GAGUUUGAUCAUGGCUCAGAAUCAACGCUGGCGGCGCGCCUAACACAUGCAAGUCGAACGAGAAAGUGGAGCAAUCCAUGAGUACAGUGGCGUACGGGUGAGUAACACGUGGGUAAUCUACCUUUUAGUGAGGAAUAACCGAGGGAAACUUUGGCUAAUACCGCAUAAGCCCCAAUCGUAAAGAGAAGGGGGAAAGCAGAAAUGCGCUGAAAGAGGAGCCCGCGGCCGAUUAGCUAGUUGGUGGGGUAAGAGCCCACCAAGGCAGAGAUCGGUAGCCGGCCUGAGAGGGCACACGGCCACACUGGCACUGAAACACGGGCCAGACUCCUACGGGAGGCAGCAGUGGGGAAUCUUGCACAAUGGGGGCAACCCUGAUGCAGCGACGCCGCGUGAGCGAUGAAGCCCUUCGGGGUGUAAAGCUCUUUCGGCAGGGAAGAUAGUGACGGUACCUGCAGAAGCAGCUGCGGCUAACUACGUGCCAGCGGCCGCGGUAAUACGUAGGCAGCAAGCGUUGUUCGGAGUUACUGGGCGUAAAGGGUGUGUAGGCGGUUCUUUAAGUUUGGUGUGAAAUCUCCCGGCUUAACCGGGAGGGUGCGCCGAAUACUGAGGGACUAGAGUACGGGAGAGGAAAGUGGAAUUCCUGGUGUAGCGGUGAAAUGCGUAGAUAUCAGGAGGAACACCGGUGGUGUAGACGGCUUUCUGGACCGUAACUGACGCUGAGACACGAAAGCGUGG